UGGUGGGGUAAUGGCCUACCAAGGGGUUGACGGGUAGCCGGCCUGAGAGGGUGUACGGCCACAUUGGGACUGAGAUACGGCCCAGAUUCCUGCGGGAGGCAGCAGUGGGGAAUAUUGCACAAUGGGCGCAAGCCUGAUGCAGCGACGCCGCGUGAGGGAUGACGGCCUUCGGGUUGUAAACCUCUUUCGCUGGGGACGAAGCUUUUUUGGUGACGGUACCUGGAGAAGAAGCACCGGCUAACUACGUGCCAGCAGCCGCGGUAAUACGUAGGGUGCGAGCGUUGUCCGGAAUUACUGGGCGUAAAGAGCUCGUAGGUGGUUUGUCGCGUCGUCUGUGAAAUUCCGGGGCUUAACUUCGGGCGUGCAGGCGAUACGGGCAUAACUUGAGUGCUGUAGGGGAGACUGGAAUUCCUGGUGUAGCGGUGAAAUGCGCAGAUAUCAGGAGGAACACCGAUGGCGAAGGCAGGUCUCUGGGCAGUAACUGACGCUGAGGAGCGAAAGCAUGGGUAGCGAACAGGAUUAGAUACCCUGGUAGUCCAUGCCGUAAACGGUGGGCGCUAGGUGUGGGGGUCUUCCACGACUUCUGUGCCGUAGCUAACGCUUUAAGCGCCCCGCCUGGGGAGUACGGCCGCAAGGCUAAAACUCAAAGGAAUUGACGGGGGCCCGCACAAGCGGCGGAGCAUGUGGAUUAAUUCGAUGCAACGCGAAGAACCUUACCUGGGCUUGACAUAUGCAGGAUCGCGCCAGAGAUGGUGUUUCCCUUGUGGCUUGUAUACAGGUGGUGCAUGGUUGUCGUCAGCUCGUGUCGUGAGAUGUUGGGUUAAGUCCCGCAACGAGCGCAACCCUUGUCUUAUGUUGCCAGCACGUGAUGGUGGGGACUCAUGAGAGACUGCCGGGGUCAACUCGGAGGAAGGUGGGGAUGACGUCAAAUCAUCAUGCCCCUUAUGUCCAGGGCUUCACACAUGCUACAAUGGUCGGUACAGUGGGUUGCGAGACCGUGAGGUGGAGCGAAUCCCUUUGAAAGCCGGCCUCAGUUCGGAUUGGGGUCUGCAACUCGACCCCAUGAAGUCGGAGUCGCUAGUAAUCGCAGAUCAGCAAUGCUGCGGUGAAUACGUUCCCGGGCCUUGUACACACCGCCCGUCACGUCAUGAAAGUUGGUAACACCCGAAGCCCAUGGC
rnacentral:rRNA from 1 species